UACGGAGGGUGCAAGCGUUGUCCGGAAUUAUUGGGCGUAAAGAGCUCGUAGGCGGUCUGUCACGUCGGCUGUGAAAUCCCGAGGCUCAACCUCGGGUCUGCAGUCGAUACGGGCAAACUAGAGUAUUGCAGGGGAGACUGGAAUUCCUGGUGUAGCGGUGAAAUGCGCAGAUAUCAGGAGGAACACCGGUGGCGAAGGCGGGUCUCUGGGCAAUAACUGACGCUGAGGAGCGAAAGCGUGGGGAGCGAACAGG
rnacentral:rRNA from 1 species